rnacentral:lncRNA from 10 species
UCAAAAGGGGUCACAUGCCAGAAAUUUCAUUUGUUUCCACCUGAUAGUUGUAUGUAGAAUCAAACUUCAAGGGAGAGGGGGUAAGGCUUUCCUCUAAAACAUCAGACUCAAAAAUUUCCCUCCCAGUGGGGUUACACCAGCUAGUGUUUCCUGUGUUCUUAGGCCAUGUCAGGCAUUGAGCUCAACUCAUCACAUAACUCAUCUUAUUUCACAAUUCAAUGAGAUUAGCAUUAUCCUCUUGUUUUACAGGCCCCUCCUCUUCAGCCUGUGCAUCUACCCCAGGGAACCAUGAAGCACCAUCACCAAAGCUUUUCCCAGUAAGCUCUGCUGUGGCUGCUCCGGAGGAAAGAUAUUUUAUUUCUUUUAAUGUGUUUUAAGGU